AAUCAACGCUGGCGGCGUGCCUCAGACAUGCAAGUCGAACGAUUAAAGCUCUCUUCGGAGAGUGUAUAGAGUGGCGCACGGGUGAGUAACACGUAAGUAAUCUACCUUUGAGUGGGGAAUAACGUCCGGAAACGGACGCUAAUACCGCAUAAUGCAGCGGCAUCGCAAGAUGACAGUUGUUAAAGAUUUAUCGCUUGAAGAGGAGCUUGCGGCAGAUAGCUAGUUGGUAAGGUAAUGGCUUACCAAGGCUACGAUCUGUAACCGGUCUAAGAGGACGGUCGGUCACACUGACACUGAAUAACGGGUCAGACCCCUACGGGAGGCAGCAGUCGGGAAUUUUGGGCAAUGGGCGAAAGCCUGACCCAGCAACGCCGCGUGGGUGAAGAAGGCCUCGG
rnacentral:rRNA from 1 species